rnacentral:sRNA from 1 species
AGCCUAUCAAUUUCAGGGCUUGGAAUUUUUCACAGGAAUUCUUGCAUUUCCUCUGGUGCUUGUCAACUAUGAUCUGUUCACGUCCAGAUAUCAAGCAUCGUUGCAAAAACCCUUAGCUUGUGACGAUAGAUAUCAAGAUCUGAUUGUUGUGUUCUCUUGCUUUUUGAAAUUGUCCAUUUUUGGGGGGGUUGUGUUUUUUAAAAAGUUUUUUCACGUUGGUUUUUGGUUUUUUUAGUCUUUUCAGAGUUAUACGUUGCUUUGUUUUUUUUUUUUUAAUGUUGAUCAACUUUUAUGUUAUAUUGAAUUUUAAAACACUUAAUUUUAAAUCAUAUCAUUUAAUAAUAGAAGUUUUUAUGUAGAACAAUAAGUACUUAUGCAAAAGAUUAUAUACAUAUAUCAAAGCCACUAUGCAAGUCCAUUAGUUUACUUGAUUAUAUCUGUGCCUUUCCUUGAAUAUCUAGCAUUUUCUUUGAUUUGGGAUACAAAUACUACCUUAUAUAUGUAUAAACAAUUAUAAUAUAGAACUUGUACACACGCCUUAUCCGUCCAAACAACUAACAUGGCUUCCUAAAGGUGAAGGGAUUUAAAAUACUAAUGUUUUUCAUAUAUCUAGUCCAGCUAAAUGAUGUCGUUAGCUUUGCUCUCUGUAUUUAUUAGUUAGAGUGGUCACAUUUAUGGGAACCAGAUACCCAAACUAUCCAUUUUUUAAAUAAUGAAAAGAAAUAUUUGUCUUUAAAGGACAAUCACUGGUUUUUCUGUCCAUCUUGUAUGUACAAUCUUAUUUCCUAUCGCUUUUUAGCACUUUUUAAUAAUGUUAAAGUAAAAGUCAAGGGGUCCAAACAUUUUUUGGCAGAAAAAGGAUCAAAGUUGUCACUUUUGGACUUAAUAAUGAUAUGUUCCUCAGUUUGGAUAAUUUGAUCAUAAGAAGUAAAAGUCUUUCUGUGAACUUGCUAACUUCUUGAAUUUAUUUUACCUUCCCCAAGCAGACACACAACGACAAGAUUUUUGUAUUUGGUUCCUAGUGAAAUGUUCUAUUCUGUUUUAAAAGUUGUCUCACUGUUAUGUGUACAAUGUAAUUUAAUGUUAAUCACUAUAUGGUCUUUUUUUCACAGUUUAUACAUGUAGCUAUAUUUAAAGUGUAUCUAUAUGACAUUGUGUGCUUCUAAUAUACAGACACAUCAGUUUUUGCAUCGUUGUAAAACCCUCUUGGUAAAAUUGUGAAACCAAAGAAUAAUAUAUUUUAGAAUUUUAUCCGUACCAGUUGAUAUUAACCAAAACCAAUGCUUAGAUGUGGGUACUUCUUGAUUAGCGUAGUAUGUUGGGAGAAAUUAGGGGAGUGGUCUUAUAACUCAGGGAGACUCGGUGCAGUUCAAAUGUACAAAUGUUUGAAGGAUAAAGCCCACAUAACUUGAACAAAGAAAUAGUUAUUUACUUUUUAUUUUUGGUUAUUGGUAAAUUAAUUUUAAAAAGUUAAUAAAUACAUGUACAUGUAAAUUAUUUUUCAAACUGACAGCUUUCAAGGUUGUAAGUUUCCUUUAUUUGCCUUGUUCUUUAACCCGUUGUCAUUAUUAUGAAGUUGUUUUAUUUGAGUAAUUUGCCAUCAUCACUAAUAUAUGCAAUAUUAUACAUAUAAAUGUAUAAGAAAUAUAUAUACUCAUUGAUGAAAAUGAAUAAAAACAAAAAACUC